rnacentral:rRNA from 1 species
AGCACCACAACGGGUGGAGCUUGCGGUUUAAUUGGAUUCAACGCCGGAAAUCUUACCGGGACCGACAGCAAUAUGAAGGCCAGGCUGAAGACUUUGCCGGAUUAGCUGAGAGGUGGUGCAUGGCCGUCGUCAGUUCGUACUGUGAAGCAUCCUGUUAAGUCAGGCAACGAGCGAGACCCACGCCCACAGUUGCCAGCGUACUCUCCGGAGUGACGGGUACACUGUGGGGACCGCCGCUGCUAAAGCGGAGGAAGGAAUGGGCAACGGUAGGUCAGUAUGCCCCGAAUAUCCCGGGCUACACGCGAGCUACAAUGGUUGGUACAAUGGGUAUCUACCCCGAAAGGGGAUGGAAAUCUCCUAAAGCCAAUCUUAGUCCGGAUUGAGGGCUGCAACUCGCCCUCAUGAAGCUGGAAUCCGUAGUAAUCGCGUUUCAACAGAACGCGGUGAAUACGUCCCUGCUCCUU